rnacentral:tRNA from 1 species
GCUUCUAUAGUGUAAUCAACACACCGGUUUUUCGUGCCGGUAAUGAACAGUUUAAGUUCUAGAGGUA